rnacentral:rRNA from 1 species
AUUGAACGCUGGCGGCAGGCCUAACACAUGCAAGUCGAACGAGUGGCGGACGGGUGAGUAAUGUCUGGGACACUGCCUGAUUGAGGGGGAUAACUACUGGAAACGGUAGCUAAUACCGCAUACCAUCGGAUGUGCCCAGAUGGGAUUAGCUAGUAGGUGGGGUACCGGCUCACCUAGGCGACAAUCCCUAGCUGUGCUGAGAGGAUGACCAGCCACACUGGAACUGAGACACGGUCCAGACUCCUACGGGAGGCCGCAGUGGGGAAUAUUGCACAAUGGGCGCAAGCCUGAUGCAGCCAUGCCGCGUGUAUGAAGAAGGCCUUCGGGUUGUAAAGUACUUUCAGCGGGGAGGCGUUACGCGCAGAAGAAGCACCGGCUAACUCCGUGCCAGCAGCCGCGGUAAUAA